AAGGAAAAGGAGGAGAAGAGAGAGGCAGAAAGUUGUUAUUGAAAACAAAACAAGUGGAAGAUUUGAACUCCAACUUGGUAUUCUGCAAAAUAUAUGAGUCAGAUCUGGAGCUUCCUUAGGCCACGACUAGAAGCCUCAUUCAUUAGGCCACGAGCUUCCUUGCUUCUAGAGCCAAAAAAGAACCAAACUUGGGGUUUAUUUGAUUUGUUACUAUUAAAUUAUUGAUGCGUAACCCAACAAGAACCCUCGCAAAUUGGACUUUUCAGAUGAAAGGAAAGAGACCAAAGAGCAGAGACAGAGGGAGAGAGAGAGAUAAAGAAAUGCGGUUUUGAACUAGACUCUGGUUUUCAGAAUGAUGAUACGUGCAAUCUGUGCUGCUGGAAAAGCUGAUGUGGCAAUGGAAUUUUACAAGGAAAUACUGGACACCGACAGAAACCUGAGGUUAGAUAGAGGUUUUGCAUCUGGAAGCCUCUAUCAAACUUCAGUUAAUUUGAUUAUGAUGCAGCCCAAUUCAAGUUUUUGGAGGAGGAGCUGAGUGAAAAUGGCGGUUCCAUUGUUGAAGAAGGCGAUCGUGAAGAAGAGGGUCAAGCAGUUCAAGAGGCCCAAAAGCGACUGCAAGAUCUGCGUCAGGUUUUGCAGUUUUCUAAGGUUGAAUUGCUCCCAAAAGGCUUGGAGAUCUGGUUUCUUUCACAGAAGGGCAAUUGAUUCCCUUUCUUCAAAACAACUGAAAUCUAGGGAAAUGCUUGAAUAUUUUUACAUAACUGUUUAUUCUCACUGAAUUCAGAAGAAGAGGCAGAGAAUAGAAAGAAGCACAAUCUGAUACAGUGCUUGACAGUCAAUCUAUUAGUGGCAGAGGGGCUCAAAUGCCUGUGGGUCGAAUGUUCAGUCUUUUCAGUAAUCAUAACUUGAAUUUUUUUUCCCGUCUCUAUUUCAUUUUGCUUUCCUUACUACAAUAUAUGCUGCAACUUUGUAAAUACACCCCUUUCGGGUUUGUCUUUCAGAGCUUUUGUGGCAACCUAGAAUGUAGCACGGAAAUCUCCCCAUAGUGGCCUUAAUCUGGACGAUAUUCAUCAGGUUAAUUAUCCAUCAAACGUAUCUGUCUUGGGCUGAUUUCGAUAAGAUUGGACAAGGUGGUUUUGGGGUUGUUUACUAUUCCAAGCUGACAAGCGAGGAUAAUACUAAAAUUGUGACAGCUUCUGGUGAUCAAACUGUAAGCGUCCACUUUGAGAGAAGUUCAGAAAAGUUGAAAUUGACUAAUCAGGAUUAAGAACUUUGUUAGUAGCACAUGAAUGAGGGAAAAUGUAAUGAAAUCUGGUAGGAGGAAAGUUGUAGAUAAGUAAUUCUGCCUCAUAUUGCAGUUGGUUUAGUUUCUAAGUGAUUGUGUUGUUUCUUUGGUUUUUGUGUUUUCUCCAGGUUAAGUUAUGGGAUAUCAGGAAAAGAAAUGUACUGCAGUUCUAACGGGCAAUAUAGUUAUUCUAUUUGUUACUAGGUGGAGUUCUGUUUUGAGCCUAAUGGUGUUGUUCCUGUUUGUUUAUGCAGAUUCUGUAUGCAAGCAGGUCUGCCAUUACCCUGAUCCUGUAACAAGUUUUAACGUUGCACCAGACUUGAUGAAUCAAGCAAAAGAUUAUUUGAACAAAACUAUGUCCGUUAUAUUGUUAGUUAGGGCGAGUGUUUUAGAAUAUGGGUAAAAAAAAUGCAUCUUCUAAUGUUCCAAUUAUGUUUAUUUGACCCAAAAGUUGUGGUUGCACAGUUGUGUGCAGUCCCGCUUUAAGCUUGCAUAUCCUUUGAAUGCCGAUUUAGGAUGACCUGCUUUUGGAGUGUUGAUUUAUAUGAUUCUGUGUUCGUCC